CAUAGCGACUAUCGUGGCAUAUCAAUAAGCGGAGGAAAAGAAACUAACAAGGAUUCCCUUAGUAACGGCGAGUGAAGCGGGAAGAGCUCAAAUUUGAAAUCUUCAAGGUUCUACCUUGACGAAUUGUAGUUUAUAGAAGUGUUUUCUGUUAGUGGAGUGGCAAAAGUUCUUUGGAAUAGGACAUCAUAGAGGGUGAGAAUCCCGUAUUUGGUCAUUCCUCCUAGCGUUGUGAUACACUUUCAACGAGUCGGAUUGUUUGGGAAUGCAGUCCAAAAUGGGUGGUAAAUUUCAUCUAAAGCUAAAUAUUGGCGAGAGACCGAUAGCGAACAAGUACCGUGAGGGAAAGAUGAAAAGAACUUUGAAAAGAGAGUUAAACAGUACGUGAAAUUGUCAAAAGGGAAGCGUUUGACACCAGUGUUGUUUUUCCGAAAAUCAAUUACGAAUGUUUUGUUUUUGAGGAGUUAUGACUUCAUCGGCUUGCUCCUUUCUUUACGAAACUUUCUUAAUGCACUUUUCGGUUAACAAGUCAACAUCAAUUUCUUUUGUUGUAAAAGGGUAUGAGGAAGGUGGCUUUCUUUUCGGAGAAAGUGUUUAUAGCCUUGUGCCUCUGCAAUCGGAGAGAUUGAGGUCUGCAGCGUAGAUCCUUCGGGGUUAGAUACGUUUGUGCUAAGUUAUAGCUUUUCAUAGACAACUUGUUGACUAUGUUUAGUCUUGUAGCUUACUCGCUGACGCUAUUUUACCUACGCUUAGGAUGUUGACGAGACUGUCGAUCUC
rnacentral:rRNA from 1 species